CUGAAGAAGGCGAAGAAGGAGGAAGUGGAGCGGGAAGGGCUUAGUAUUGAUGUAUCUGCGUGACAGCUCAAAGGUUCCCUGGAUAUGAAGGCUAUUCUGGCCGGAGUCUUGGAUGCCUCGGCAGGAACCACCAAUGAAAACUCCUUUCUGCAUAACAGCUUCGUCUCGGUAAAGGAAUCACGUAGACUGAUACUUUUUCAUCAUGUGCAUUAGCUACUUGCCACCGAGAACAACCUACAAUGAUGCAACUCGUCAAGCUACCUCUAUUUGAAAAAGAUUUAAUAAUUUCAACGUGUAAUGUGAUCAGAUCAUGUUCAUAUUAAACUUCCCUUGUGUUCAGUCUUGAACAUUUUUUUAAAUACAACUGUGACGACCGCAAUGAGUCAAGAUUAAUGACGUAAUAGCGUUAAUUACGACACAGCGUCACGCAAGUCCAUUACGGCGAAGACAGUGAACAACAGAUGGACGAGGCGCCAGCUGGAACAGAGCCCCGCAGUGACACCAGCUACCCUCCUACACCCCAGAGCAGGGUGGCGAGAUAAAGAUAGCGCAUAAUGUCUCAAUUGCUGUAACCACGCGUAAAUAAACCCGAGACAAGAGGAAAGAAUGGACAUUAAUAAAGAAGAGGGUAACCCGCAGGCCUGCUCCAGGGUUGCCAAGUGACAUUAUACCCUCAUCACGGGACACCAUCAUUGGCACUGUGUAUCUCGCGCCGUGAGGGUCAGCGCGCCGAGGGUCUGGCACGGCUGUGCGAGGACGGACGAGGACGAGGACGAGAGGGAGGUCAAGGAGAGUGAUCCAGAGCGGGAAAGGGACAGUGAAGACUUCCUCUCAGCGGAUGUACUACUGAAGACCGUGACAGUCACCUCCUCUUCACCCGCUCACUCACUCACUCACUCACUCGCCCUAUUCUCUCUUUUCACUUGGUAAUCAUCUUGAAGGUUAUCUAUCCAAGGAAAGAAACCCAGGUCGCUUUUGUUU